ACCCACCACAGAAGGUAAUAGUCCUGUAUGUUAAACGAGAAGACUUUAGAUAUGAUCCAGAGUACCACGGGACACGUGAAACCCUGUGGGAAGCAGGAGGGACCACCCUCCAAGGCUAAAUACUACCUAGUGACCGAUAGCGUAUAGUACCGUGAGGGAAAGGUGAAAAGAACCCCGGGAGGGGAGUGAAAUAGAACCUGAAACCCUGCACUUACAAGCUGUGGAAGCACAUUUCUUGUGUGACCGCGUACUUUUUGUAGAACGGGCCAACGAGUUACGUUAAGUAGCAAGGUUAAGCACUUAAGGUGCGGAGCCGUAGCGAAAGCGAGUUUUAACUGAGCGUUCAGUUACUUGACGUAGACCCGAAACCGGGCGACCUACCCAUGAGCAGGAUGAAGCGAAAGUAAAAUUUCGUGGAGGUCCGAACCCACGAGCGUUGAAAAGCUCGGGGAUGACUUGUGGGUAGCGGUGAAAUUCCAAUCGAGCCCGGAGAUAGCUGGUUCUCCCCGAAAUAGCUUUAGGGCUAGCCUCAAGGUGAGAGAUACGGAGGUAGAGCACUGAAUGUCCUAGGGGGUAUUGCACCUACCGAAGACUAUCAAACUCCGAAUGCCGUCAUCUUAUACUUGGGAGUCAGACUGUGGGUGAUAAGAUUCAUAGUCGAAAGGGCAACAGCCCAGAUCGUCAGCUAAGGUCCCUAAAUGUAAGUUAAGUGGUAAAGGAUGUGGGAUUGCACAGACAACCAGGAUGUUGGCUUAGAAGCAGCCACUCAUUCAAAGAGUGCGUAAUAGCUCACUGGUCGAGUGAUCCUGCGCCGAAGAUUUCCGGGGCUAAAACUUACUACCGAAGCUACGGCAUCAGUAAUGAUGGGUAGGGGAGCUUCCCAUACGGGUUGAAGCAUGACCGUAAGGACAUGUGGACAGUAUGGGAGUGAGAAUGUUGGCAUGAGUAGCGAGAUGUGGGUGAGAAUCCCACAGGCCGUAAACCCAAGGUUUCCAGGGGAAGGUUCGUCCGCCCUGGGUUAGUCGGGACCUAAGCUGAGGCCGAAAGGCGUAGGUGAUGGACAACAGGUUGAUAUUCCUGUACUACCGAUAACCGUUUGAGAGAAGGGAUGACACAGUAGGAUAAGCUAAGCACACUGUUGGUUAUGUGUGCCCAAGCAUUGAGGCAGUCAAAGUAGGCAAAUCCGCUUUGAUAAUGCUGGGAUGUGAUGGGGAGCGAAAUUUAGUAGCGAAGUAGCUGAUUUCACACUGUCAAGAAAAGUCUCUAUCGAGGUUAAAGGUACCCGUACCGCAAACCGACACAGGUGGGUGAGGAGAGUAUCCUAAGGCCAGCGAGAGAACUGUUGUUAAGGAACUCGGCAAAAUGACCCCGUAACUUAGGGAUAAGGGGUGCCACCAUCAGGUGGCCGCAGAGAAUAGGCCCAAGCGACUGUUUACCAAAAACAUAGGUUUCUGCUAAGUCGCAAGACGAUGUAUAGGAGCUGACGCCUGCCCGGUGCUGGAAGGUUAAGGGGAUCUGUUAGAGCAAUCGAAGCAGUGAACUUAAGCCCCAGUAAACGGCGGCCGUAACUAUAACGGUCCUAAGGUAGCGAAAUUCCUUGUCGGGUAAGUUCCGACCCGCACGAAAGGCGUAACGAUUUGGGCACUGUCUCAACAACAGACUCGGUGAAAUUGUAAUUCCGGUGAAGAUGCCGGAUACCUGCGACAGGACGGAAAGACCCCAUGGAGCUUUACUGUAGCUUGACAUUGGGUCUUGGUACUACAUGUACAGGAUAGGUGGGAGGCUUUGAAACCAGGACGCCAGUUUUGGCGGAGCCAUCCUUGGGAUACCACCCUUGUAGUACUGGGACUCUAACCAUAGGCCAUGAAUCUGGUCUUGGGACACUGUCAGGUGGGCAGUUUGACUGGGGCGGUCGCCUCCCAAAAGGUAACGGAGGCGCUCAAAGGUUCUCUCAGUACGGUCGGAAAUCGUACGUAGAGUGUAAAGGCAAAAGAGAGCUUGAUUGCAAGACAUACAGGUCGAGCAAGGAUGAAAAUCGGACUUAGUGAUCCGGUGGUUCUGCGUGGAAGGGCCAUCGCUCAACGGAUAAAAGCUACCCUGGGGAUAACAGGCUUAUCUCCCCCAAGAGUCCACAUCGACGGGGAGGUUUGGCACCUCGAUGUCGGCUCAUCACAUCCUGGGGCUGUAGUAGGUCCCAAGGGUUGGGCUGUUCGCCCAUUAAAGUGGUACGCGAGCUGGGUUCAGAACGUCGUGAGACAGUUCGGUCCCUAUCCGUCGCAGGCGUAGGAAAUUUGAGAAGACCUGUCCUUAGUACGAGAGGACCGGGAUGGACGUACCUCUGGUGUACCAGUUGUCCUGCCAAGGGCAUGGCUGGGUAGCUAUGUACGGAAUGGAUAAGCGCUGAAAGCAUCUAAGCGCGAAGCCAACUUCAAGAUAAGAUUUCCCACCGCAAGGGUAAGACCCCAGAAAGACUAUCUGGUUGAUAGGUCGAAGGUGUAAGUGCAGCAAUGUAUUUAGCUUAUCGAUACUAAUAGGUCGAGGACUUGACC
rnacentral:rRNA from 1 species